rnacentral:rRNA from 1 species
AUUGAACGCUGGCGGCAGGCCUAACACAUGCAAGUCGAACGAGUGGCGGACGGGUGAGUAAUGUCUGGGAAACUGCCCGAUGGAGGGGGAUAACUACUGGAAACGGUAGCUAAUACCGCAUACCAUCGGAUGUGCCCCGAUGGGAUUAGCUUGUAGGUGGGGGAACGGCUCACCUAGGCGACGAUCCCUAGCGGGUCUGAGAGGAGGACCAGCGCCACUGGAACUGAGACACGGUCCAGACUCCUCCGGGAGGCAGCAGUGGGGAAUAUGGAACAAUGGGCGCAAGCCUGAUGCAGCCAUGCCGCGUGUAUGAAGAAGGCCUUCGGGUUGUAAAGUACUUUCAGCGAGGAGGCGUUACUCGCAGAAGAAGCACCGGCUAACUCCGUGCCAGCAGCCGCGGUAAUAC